AUGUGCAGAAAACUAGCCGUUGAAAAGAGCUGCAUGUUCAGAAAACUAGCUGUUGGAACCAGAAUACAUGUGCAGAAAACUAGCUGUUGGAACCAGAAUACAUUUGUGAAGACAAUCCGCUUGCCCCCAACUGACAAGACAAAAUUGUUUGCAAAGAUGCAAGAAGGUGCAAGAAAAGAUGUUGAACGUGCAUUUGGAGUUCUACAAUCUCGAUUUGCUAUUGUACGUGGUCCGGUUAAUCUUUGGUAUAGGCAAGAUAUUGCUGAUAUCAUGUAUGCAUGUGUUAUAUUGCAUAAUAUGAUAGUCGAGGAUGAGCGGGAUUCCUAUGAGGUUCGCUUUGACUAUGACUAUGAUCAGGAUACCUUUAACAACGAAAUAGAUAAUCUGAACCAUGGGCCAAUUCAUGAAUUUGCCAGAGUGCUGGAGAUAGGCUCAGCAAUUCGUGAUCGAGCUACACAUCGACAACUCAAAGGCGAUUUGAUAGAGUAUCUAUGGCAACGAUUCGGGGGUGGUCAGCCUUAG
rnacentral:rRNA from 1 species